UUGCGAUGUCCUGGGCGGCGUCCUCGUU
rnacentral:piRNA from 1 species